ensembl:snoRNA
GACGGCUCUAAUCCAAGCCAUAGUGGCCCCUUUAUAGCUGCCGUGGAUAGUAAAGAGCCAAUAGAGACGUUUCCUUGACGGUCGCUGGUCAGACUGCUGGGGGGCUAAUCAGCAACAUAUCGGGAAACAACACCC